rnacentral:rRNA from 1 species
UGGGGAAUAUUGCACAAUGGGGGAAACCCUGAUGCAGCGACGCCGCGUGAAGGAAGAAGUAUCUCGGUAUGUAAACUUCUAUCAGCAGGGAAGAUAGUGACGGUACCUGACUAAGAAGCCCCGGCUAACUACGUGCCAGCAGCCGCGGUAAUACGUAGGGGGCAAGCGUUAUCCGGAUUUACUGGGUGUAAAGGGAGCGUAGACGGUGUGGCAAGUCUGAUGUGAAAGGCAUGGGCUCAACCUGUGGACUGCAUUGGAAACUGUUGAUCUUGAGUACCGGAGGGGUAAGCGGAAUUCCUAGUGUAGCGGUGAAAUGCGUAGAUAUUAGGAGGAACACCAGUGGCGAAGGCGGCUAUCUGGCUGGAAACUGACGCUGAGGUGCGAAAGCGUGGGUAGCAAACAGGAUUAGAUACC